rnacentral:rRNA from 1 species
UCUUGCAUCCAGAGAACUUCCCAGAGAUGGAUUGGUGCUUCGGGAACUCUGAGACAGGUGCUGCAUGGCUGUCGUCAGCUCGUGUUGUGAAAUGUUGGGUUAAGUCCCGCAACGAGCGCAACCCUUAUCCUUUGUUGCCAGCGGUUCGGCCGGGAACUCAAAGGAGACUGCCAGUGAUAAACUGGAGGAAGGUGGGGAUGACGUCAAGUCAUCAUGGCCCUUACGAGUAGGGCUACACACGUGCUACAAUGGCAUAUACAAAGAGAAGCGACCUCGCGAGAGCAAGCGGACCUCAUAAAGUAUGUCGUAGACCGGAUUGGAGUCUGCAACUCGACUCCAUGAAGUCGGAAUCGCUAGUAAUCGUAGAUCAGAAUGCUACGGUGAAUACGUUCCCGGGCCUUGUACACACCGCCCGUCACACCAUGGGAGAGGGUUGCAAAAGAAGUAGGUAGCUUAACCUUCGGGAGGGCGCUUACCACUUUGUGAUUCAUGACUGGGGUGAAGUCGUAACAGGGUAAC